rnacentral:rRNA from 1 species
AAGGGUGACGAAGCGACGCCGCGUGUGGGAAGAAGGCCUUCGGGUUGUAAACCACUGUCGGGAGUUAGGAAAUGCAGGUGCGUUGAUAGCGCACUUGCUUGACUAAGGCUCCCGAGGAAGCCACGGCUAACUCUGUGCCAGCAGACGCGGUAAUACAGAGGCGGCAAGCGUUGUUCGGAAUUAUUGGGCGUAAAGAGCACGUAGGCGGCCUUGCAAGUCAGUUGUGAAAGCCUUCCGCUUAACGGAAGAACGGCAUCUGAUACUACAGGGCUUGAGUACGGGAGGGGAGAGUGGAACUUCUGGUGGAGCGGUGAAAUGCGUACAUAUCAGAAGGAACGCCGGCGGCCAAAGCGACUCUCUGGUCCGAAACUGACGCUGAGUGUGCGAAAGCUAGGGGAGCAAACGGGAUUAGAUACCCCGGUAGUCCGAGCCGUACACGAUGGGCACUAAGUAGAGGGGUUU